AAUAAUUCAUUGACUGCUCGUAAUUUACAGAACAAGUGAAACCAAUAACCAAAUUAAUAAAUUCAACAUUUGAUUAUUGGCCCCAGAAUAAUCUCAAUUCAACUUAUCCAAAGUUGAGAAACCAAUUCAACUUUGAUUCGCAAACUUCAGGACUCAAAAACCUCCUACUAAAAUUUAGUCAAUGUUUUUUUAAACCAAAAACAAAUAUUUUAUGGGCACCAUCAAACUCUCAAGAAAAGUGGCUCAAAGGGUUGAAAAGAGAGCCGUAGCUCACUGGCGGCUCGGCUUAAAG
rnacentral:lncRNA from 1 species